rnacentral:lncRNA from 1 species
AGAAGUACCGCAUUGUUCCCAGAUCUUUCACUUCAAAUUUGGUGGCAAGGCUCUUUUUCAGUCUUUCCAUUUCCACUACAUUGUCUCCUGUUAAAUUUAUAUCAUCAACAUAUACUAUUAAGAAUGUCUUAGUCCCGUCUUCAAAAUGUUGAAGAAACAUAGUGUGAUCUAACUGUCCCUAUCGAUAUCCUUGACCUUUCAACACCUUUGCAAAUCUAUUAAACCAUGCCCUUAGUGAGUGUUUGAAUCCAUAUAAAGAUUUAUUGAGUUUGCAUACCCAAUUUUUCUCAUUCAUUUUACAAAACCCCGGUGGUAAUAUCGUGAAAACUUCUUCUUCCAGUUCUCCGUUUAAAAAUGCAUUUUUAAUGUCUAGUUGUUGAAGUGGCCAAUCCAAAUUUGCAGCUAAUGAUAGAAGAACUCGAAUUGUAUUCAAUUUUGCUACUGGUGCAAAUGUUUCCGUGUAGUCGAUGCCAUAUGUUUGUGUGUAUCCUUUUGCAACCAAUCGAGCUUUAUAUCGUUCAAUAGUCCCAUCAGCUUUGUAUUUCACAUUAAAAAUCCAUUUGCACCCAACCGGUCUCUUCCCUUUUGGUAGGUCCAAUACUUCCCAAGUUUCAUUUUUCUCCGGCGCUCUCAUUUCCUCCAAUAUUGACUCUCUCCAUUUAGGAAUCUCCAAAGCUUCUUUGAUAUUUUUUGGGAUUUCUGUACUGUCCAGAUGAGAUGUGAGAGCUCAAAAUUCAGUAGAUAAGGUAUUAUAAGACAUGGAUUUUGAAAUAGGAUGGAGAGUACAUGACCGAGUUUGCUUUCUAAGAGCAAUGGGUAAAUCUGAAGUUUUUGAUGCUUCGUGAGGAUGUAGAGCUAUCAUCGGGUCCGACUCUUUUGGUGCUUAGGAUGUGAGAGUCUCCUUGUACUUUGAUUUUGGCUUUCAUGAAUAGACUAGUAUCUCUUUAUCAUUUUAUUUUUCUACAUAUCCCCCUGAGUUUAAGUUCCUUACUGUAAAUGGCAUAUUCAAUAGUGAAAUAGGUUUUAUGGGUGGUGUAGGUUCAGGAGGAGAAAGAUCGAAAUCCAAGAACCGAUCUUUAUGUAAGUUCUCCCCCUGAAGAGAGGUUUUUCCAAAAUAUGGUUUAGUUUCGAAGAAGGUAACAUCCAGGCUGACAAAGAGUCUUUUUGUAGAGGGAUCAUAACAUUUGUAACCUUUUUAAGUAGGGGAAUACCCAAUCAAUACACAUUUAAUAGCUCGAGGAUCAAGUUUACUUCUGUGAUGGGAGUGGAUAUGGACAAAAGCGGUACAUCCAAAUACUCUUAGUGAUAUAUUAGAGUUGAGACGAGAGGUUGGAAAGAACUUUUGAAAUUUUUGGAGGGGUGAUUCGAAGUUAAGAGUACGACUCGACAUUCUGUUGAUUAGGUAGGUAG